rnacentral:tRNA from 1 species
GGGGCUACAGCUCAGUGGUAGAGUGUGUAUCUAGCAUGCACAGGGUCCUGGGUUCGAUCCCCAGGCCCUCCA